UCCAGACUCCUACGGGAGGCAGCAGUCGGGAAUAUUGCACAAUGGAGGAAACUCUGAUGCAGUGACGCCGCGUGCAGGAAGAAGGUUUUAGGAUUGUAAACUGCUUUAGACAGGGAAGAAAAAAGACAGUACCUGUAGAAUAAGCUCCGGCUAACUACGUGCCAGCAGCCGCGGUAAUACGUAGGGAGCGAGCGUUAUCCGGAAUUAUUGGGUGUAAAGGGUGCGUAGACGGGUAAAUAAGUUAGUUGUGAAAUCCCGCGGCUCAACUGAGGAACUGCAACUAAAACUGUAUAUCUUGAGUGCGGGAGAGGAAAGUGGAAUUCCUAGUGUAGCGGUGAAAUGCGUAGAUAUUAGGAGGAACACCAGUGGCGAAGGCGACUUUCUGGACCGUAACUGACGUUGAGGCACGAAAGUGUGGGGAGCAAACAGGAUUAGAUACCCCUGUA
rnacentral:rRNA from 1 species